rnacentral:lncRNA from 1 species
ACUGCGCGCCAGGCCAGGUUCCUGAGAGCAGACAGCGCGGGCUGGGAGCGCCGGCAAGGGCGGCCCUCGCGCACCUGGCUGCCAGCCCGCAGGGGGCUCGCACGCAGACCUGCCCUUGCCACCUCAGCGCUCGGGUGCGGGCUGGGGGCGGUGGAGCCACGAAAGGUGGUGCCGAGAGCGGAGCGCAGGACAGCGCAGGAGCCCCGGCGCAUCGCGGCGCGCACAGACCCAGGAUUUGUGAAGAGGUGACCCAAAUUUCAAGACAAUGUUGGAUGCAAACGGAUUUGCCAGCAACUGCAUCACUGUCAAAACCAGCUCUGCCCGUGUCUUCCGAAGAUACCAAGUGAAAUACAUGUAGAUGGGAUUUACAUCUGAAAAACCAAGUGAGAAACUGAAGACCAGAGAGGGUGAGUGGUUUACUCAGUUUGGCACAACUGACCCCAACCUAGCCCUCCAUGAGGACUGAGCGCAUGAGAGAUCCUGAGCCACAGCCGCCCAGCCCUGCUCCUCUCGAAUUUCUGACCUACAGGAACUGCAAGAAGUAAUGAAAGACUGCUGUUUAAAGCCACUGCAUUUUGGCAUGAUUUGUUAUGCAGUCGUAGAUAACCAGAAAACAUCGGAUUUACAUUUUAAGGAUUUGGUGCAUGGGAUGGGCUCAGUUGGGCAGUUCUUCUGUUCCAUGUGAUGGUACUGGGGCUGCAGUCAUUCAGAGGCUCAACUGGGCUGAACGUGCAAGGUUUCUUGCUCACGUGGCCAUCAGUGGUGCUGGCUGCUGUUGGGAGCUCCACUGGACUUCUGUCCAGAGCUCCUCAGCUCACCUCUCUGUAUCCUUGCCCUGUGGCUCAGGCUUCUAACAAUACAGAGGCUGGAUUCCAAGAGGAGGGAAUUAGAAGCGUUCAGCCUUCUUAAGACCAGGAUUCAGAUGUCCCAGACUGUCACUGUAUUGACCGGAGCAUUUACAGGCCAGCCUAGUAAUUUUUCCAUCUUGGGCAGGAAUGGGUGGCAUAUGCUGGGGGUAGGGGUAGCAUUGUUGGGGAUCAUCUUUGGAGCUGUGUGCCAAGGAGUAAAUUGCUGGGCUGCUUUCUACCUGAGGAAGUCCACUAUGCUUGCUUGUGGAGAGUGGAUUGUGUGCUCAGAGUCCACAAGGAUUUAAGAAUCCGAGCCCUGCUGCCCUUGCCUCAGCCUGUGCAUUAGGGCCCGGUGGUGAGAGCACUGAGCCAUUGUGAAUCAAGGCCCCUCCCUCGACCUGCAUACUAACAGGCCAGAAGAGCUUGCUUGAUUUUGGUCCUAGGCUCCUGCCUGUGGGUUGGAUUCCAGGGGCACUCUCUCCUCCACAAACCAGACGGUGGCAGGUACAUCCCCUCAAUGGAAAUUGCCCACACUUCACCCUAAAGACAGAUCCUGCUGUUCAGCAACAAUGUGAGUGGCCCACACAUUUGUCCAGCAUGAAACCGUUUGCAGAUUCCUUUCCAGUACACAGUCCCGUCAGCCGGUCACUUCACGAUGACAGCUCCUCGAAGCACCUUUUGGUUUGCAGUUGUGUAGCUUAGAAGUAGGAGCCUGCACGGCUUCAGGAAUUCACAGAAGGAGCACACUUUGUGCUUGGAGAAGUUAAUUAUAGGAAUAUCCUGCAACCUGCUGCUCUGAGCCUGUGCACCUGGGGUGUUUCCCUGGAGGUCCUGUGUAUGAGGAUACUCAUCAGCAUGGGGUUUGGGAAGCCUAGCAGUGGAGACAACCUAGGUGGUCCUCUCCAGGGGAGUAGGUAAGAGCCCUACAGCAGUGAAAAGCAUUGAAGGAAAAGUGUGUUCAGCAGUGCUCUUAAUCUGAUCAGAGCAGCCUGAACACAUUCUAAACACAGGGCAUUUAGAACUAGGGUAGAGGCACUAGAGCACCAUAGAUACAAACUCAGAUUCUGAAGGUAAAUGCCCAGGUUCAAAUCCAAGCCCCCUCGCCAAGUGACCAUGACUCCCCCGAGUCACCUGACCUCUGUGUUUACAUCCUCAAAGUUAAGUAGUCAGGAAAGGGGGCUUGGGGCUUGCCACAUGGAUGGUUGCCACUCUCCUUUGCAAAGUGUAGUCCCCAAAAACAGGUGGAAGAGGGAAGGGUCCAAUUAGAAGGCCGAGUACCAGCUGCCAUGAAUAUGCCAGAGCUGCUGGCUAGUGAUAAAUAACUGAAACCCAGGGGGACAGCAGAGCUUGGGUGACCAUACAUUCUAGGAAAGAAAACAUGCCUGUUGUCCUGGCUUUUUAUCCAGCUUAGACAAAGAUGGGCAAAGAAAAUAAUUUAGAAAAUGGUAGAGAUGGGCACAGAGAAAGGGCACGGAGGGAGGCACAAACAGAAGGCCAAGUGAUGGUGGAGGCAGACAUUGGAGAAAUGCCUUUACAAGCCGGGGAAUGCCAAGGAUGCUGGCAACCCUGGGAGUGGGAAGAACCUGGAACACACCCUCCGUCAGAGUCUCCAGAAGGAACUGGCCCUUCAUCACCUUUCGGACUUCUGGCCUCCAGAACUGGGCAAGAAAAUGUUUCUGCUGUUGGAGGCCAUCCAGCUGGUGGUCAUUUGUUAUGGUUGCCACAGAAAACGAAUAUAGAUUUAGACAUCUAAUUUGCAUAUAUAGAUAUGCAUGUGUAUUU